CUCAUUUGACACGGUCAUGGCUGGCUAUUAUUAUUAAUGCUGUUACUAUUAUUUCUUUUUGGUGAGGGCUCUGGGUAACUAAUUGCCUCCGAGUCAGACACUGCGUUAGAGGGGAGAAUCAGGAGGAGCUGGGCCGUGACCCACCCACGUACCUUCAUCUUUCAUCCCAUGGGAGGUGAUGCAGCCACGCUGCCUGGGCCUUCUGAGGUUUUGCAGCGGAUACUUCUCUGGUCCCUGUCCCCUUUUCUUUGCUUCAGGGAGACCCCCCCCCCAUACAUUCUUCCAUGUGUUCAUGCUCCUCUCCCCAGGACACUCCACUGUGCCUGCAGAGUAAGGAAGCACUGAGAGACCACUCUUUCUGCUCAAUCUAUUUGACUCUUAAAAGGAAGAUGCUGCUGUUUGAUGACUUCUUGAGGGGAGCCAUCACCCUUGGAGAUAUCUGUCUGCGAAAUCCUUCAUGCUUUCUAUUACAAGGAAGCUAUGUAAGAAGUAAGGGUGAAAGCCCCAUGAUCAACAAAGUCUCCAAUUCUGACCGCUUCAUCCUGAUCCCACUCUUUGGUGGAUGUGUUUAGCCAGCAGGGCCCGCUUUCAAGAUCUUGGUGUUUUGGGUGGAGAAAUGAGGGCUGCAGUCCAUCUCUGGUUAUGUCACAGGGUGUCAAGUUUGGCCCGCAACUCUCACUUCCUGUUGACUCCGAGAGAAAGGCUACAGUUGUCGACACACAGAGAAAAACAUGAAGCUCUGAGACCGGUCUGGAUUACUAAUCCCUACAUGUCCUGUCCAGUCUAACCACUUUCCAAGUGAUGAAAUGAGCCAGCCAGGUCCGUGACUCAGCUUCCGAGAGGGGCGCCAGCACCCUGCUUUUGUUUCCCAAGGUUCCAUCGUUCCAUCCAGCGGGGCCACAGCACGGUGACCUCCACCUUGGAAUUGUCCCACCCCGGACAGAAUGAUGGACACAGAUGAUGAAGUGCAUGGUCCUUUGGAGAAGGGCCAUCUCCCCAUGGAUCUUUCAGGGAAAGGGCUGCAGAAAUGUCAUGGUACAUCAGUUGGUGUCACACUUUGGAACCAGUCCCAAGUAGCUGGGCGUGGUGGGGGAAGCUGUCUGAAGUCUGCAAAGAGAAAAUACAUGGGGUAGGAAGCACUAAGUUUUGCCUCUUUUGGCUUCCGAGUCAGUAGAUACAGUGUUCCCUUGUUUGCCUCAGGAACUACCGAAGGUGCCUGGGGGAGAUGCUGCCCUUUGGGGAAGUCUAUUGCCAGUUUUCUAAGGGAUUAGAUGAACCUUGCUGCUUUUACAAAGCUCAAUGUCCAGUUACCAUAAAAGAGGCAGCGUACAGUCAGCCAGUGGUGAAAACGGGUGGGAGUAGAGGAGCCGCGUGGGAAAGCGGUUCCAGGAAUCUUAGUCUCCUAUGCAAAUCAGAUUAAACCACACUGCAGCCAGGGCUCCCAGGGCAAAUACUUCCCAUUCCUGCCUUUUUGUCUUAGCAUUAUCUCUUGUGGGAAUAAGGAAAUCACUUUCAAUUUACUUCAGCUACUGACUUUUUUUUUUUUUUUUUAAAGUACAUUAUACUCCCGUUUGUCCACCUGGCUUAAGAAAAUUCCUUACCCAGUAACAUUUUUAAUUCUCAAAAGGAGAGAUGCCGAGGCGUUUGGAAGCAAAGGACGUGCAAAUCAAAGUCUCAUUCUUGCCAAAAGAAGCGCAGGCUUGUGAGUGGCUGGUGCUACCACAUCCUUCAGGCGGUUUUCAUUCUUGGCAUGCAGUUUUCCAUCAUUCCUCAUAUUCCUUUUGUUUUGAUCAGCUCAUGCUUGAUAACUUGACAACAUUCAAAUGGGAAAGGCUGGCGAAGGGAGGACUGCAGGGUGGGAUGAAGUCUUCCCGGCAGCAAUUUUUUAUUUUCAAUUAAGAAAUAUUUUUCAAAGAACAUGAACGUUUCCUCAUCAGAGGGUCUGAAGGUGAACUAGAGGGGCAUAUCCCAAACCACAGCAUGGACUCCCGUCACCACCGAGCAGGGGUUUCUGAAAGAACCUGCGGUCACAAGCAGGAAGGGUGCGAACAGGCAGAUCGCGCAUGUCCCAGGACGCCCAUGCGCCCCGCGCAUCCGCGCAGAGGUGCCGUGGGUCUCGCAGAUCGCAUCUGUUCUGUUUGUGAGGCAAAACGCGCGAUGUCUGUGAGCUUCACGAGCACACAGCUUUCUUUUUGGAUCUUUUAUUUCAUGACAUUGUUUUUUUUGUUGCAUUGAGGGAUCAACGAAUGUUAGAGUAGUUAGUGAUUCUAGAUGUUAUCUCACUCCUCCUCCUAUUUACGCCUUACCUGAGCCCCCGUCUCCAAAUUUCAGGGUCAAAAUCAAGGCCUGGAGAUCCACUAGGUGAGUCUGGCCCUGCAGGCCAGGUGUGGACUGGGGAUGUAAUAUUUAUACACAAGUUGCAUACAGUUUUGAUAGUUCAUCCUUGUAUAGCCACAUCUCUAGGUAUAGGAUACCACAAAUAGUCUGAAGGACUUACGUGAGGCAGACUCAAGUCUACUGUGGAUGAAUUAAGAAGUUGUAUGACUGGAACUCUGUACCCAAACAGUUUUCUCCUUUGCUUUAACAUGCUGGAGUGUCUAAAAUUGCUGCUGUUAUGUUACACCUUAAAUGGUUUUCAUUUUAUUUGGCUUAGAAUGAUAAGUCUCAGUGUUUUUCAGAUUUCAGUGUUUUAAGGGAAUGUUGGAAUUGUCUACUCCAGACUUCCCAUUAGAAAUGAGCAUGGGCUCAUAAGAUUUCUAGACGUGUUGCUCUGUCUUAAACAUGUCUGCCUUUGUGACAUCAGUAUCUGACAAAGUAGCGUGGCUUUAGUUCUGUUCCAAGUAUUCUUUUUAUGCUGUAUCUCCCCACAUAGGAUAACACAGAAAAUGUCUCCUUCCCCUUCCAUACAAAUCAGCACUCCUCUUUGCUAAGCUGCCAUGGUGGGUGUGUUGGGACUGGUUGGCAGUAAAUGUCACUGAGCCCAUCCAAGCCCUUGGGCAAACACCUUCUCAUAUCCCUGGCAAUAGAGACAGGAGAAAACUGAACCUGAGUCACGGGACCUAAUAAACUCCACGGGAGGAGAGAACGGAGCCAGGAUUUGAACCAAGGCAUGCUGAGUUUAGAGUUCUAACCAAAUUACCUGGUCCCCUGGGUUAGGGCUCUGAUCUGACCCCUAAGGCCAUUGAUGGCUGCAAGGCAGCACUCACCCUUCUGCUCCUUGGGAUCUGAAUGAUGCCCACUUGCUUGGCAAGUGUUUAUAAAAAUUACAGAUGUCCAAACUAUUUUUGAUUCUGAGCACCUGGAGGCAGGGCACGAACUCACUCAUGGCUCCCUUUGGCUAUUGCUUCAUCUACCUGCACAGGCCUGGAAGGCACUUGAGCUUCUAAUCUUGCAAGCCUUUAGGAAUGGAAUAGACCUUCCAAUCAUAUUUUCCCUAUUAAUUAAAAUAUUUUUGAGCAUGUAUCCAAAUUAUAUUUAUAGGUUUAUUCGUAGGUUAAAUACAGAUGAUAGUGUCAUAGAAUAUUGUCUUCAUUUUAAACAAUAUCAAAUAGAAGUUUAAAAUAAUAUCAAACGUAUUAGUGAAGGUCCUAAGCGUUUCCUUUCUUACUUCAACAAAUGGCAUUGGUGGGGCAUCUCUCUGCCUCCCGCUGUGGUAGAGGAGGCAGACGGGCCAGGAGAGGGGCCGAGGCUGGGACAGUCCCCACUGCAGAGCUCACGGGGGCAUUUCCGACAUGCUAAGGAUGAGCUUUCCUUUGGCGUUGCCCAGAAGCAAUGUUUAAUGUUUCUUUCUGGCUCUGUUCAGAGUCCUCACAUUGCAGAGAUCCUUCUGGAGGUUCAGAGAGUGAAGGGCUUGUUACUUUGGUCUGUGUUGUUGGUCCUUGAUUUUAAUUGGCGCUUGUGUCCUGAGCUAUUUGGCAAUGGCUCUAAUAGCUAACAUUUGUCGACCACUUACUGUGUGCCACUGUGCCGAGGACACUUGGGCACAUUACCUCAUUGUCCCUAACAGCUCUGUGAAGUGCUGAUGUUCUCACUUUACCAAGGAGGAUAUGCAGGUGUCGAAAGCCAUGACUUAGAGAGGCUAAUUAGUGGCAUGGCUGGGAUUUGAAUCCAAGUCUGUCCCCCCCUAAGUUACUCAUUCUUACUGUCAUGCUUCACUGCUGGGAGGAUGAGUGGUUGGAUAGCUAGUGGGGACCAGGGUGGAUUUCCAUCACUCAAACGGGAAGAACCACCAACUGUACAGAUAGAAGGAGGAGCAGGCAUUUUGCAUGGAGAAGUGAUGGAACAGCCAGGUUUAUAGAAUUCCUAAUGAGCCAGGGUGGUUACAAAAGGACUGUCCAACCAGGUCCAAGUACUUCUUUAUGUCACUCUCCUUUGGUGCUUGUUGUAACCUGUAGAUCAAGGUAGCAAAUAUAUCCCAAGCACUUGUUUGGAUAAGACCGAUGGAGGCCAUAGUCACUGGAUGGUGCAGAUGAGUUCAACUCCAAGCUGGACAUUGUUCAGCCGUGUACCUCAGGGGUUCAAAUAUGCGGGAGAGACGAGAUUAAGGAUAUAAGAGUUUUCUUUAUCAUCUGCCAGAAUGCUUCAGACUGGUGGAGUCAGGCAGAAAGACCUGGGUUUGAAUCCUGAUUCUGCUAUGUAUUAGCUGUGAGAACUUGGGAAACUUAUCUAAGCUCUUCAAGUCUUGGUUCUUUCAGCUUUACAACAGAGACAACAAUAUCUGCUUCAAAGUGGGUUUGUGAGGGAGUGCAUGGCGUGCCACACGGGGAGGAUUUGGCGUAGUGUUUGACAUGUGGUGCCCUUAGACUGGUAGUGGUUACUAUUCUCUCAGCCUCUGCUUUCUCUAAGAAGAGGCCCCAACUGAUUGUCUGUGGCACAAGCCUAAAUCCUGUCCUGUGUUAGGUAUGUCCUAUAUGUCUUGUUUGAAAAUGAGAAGGAAUUUUCUUCUGGUGAUGUCCUCAGUGUCUUCCUACCAGAAAAAGAAAUCUGUCUCCACAAGCAAGGAGCAAGAAUGGGAGGCAGUGGAAGUUUUUAGGUUGGC
ensembl:lincRNA